CCUACGGGAGGCUGCAGUGAGGAAUAUUGGUCAAUGGGCGCGAGCCUGAACCAGCCAAGUAGCGUGAAGGAUGACUGCCCUACGGGUUGUAAACUUCUUUUAUAAAGGAAUAAAGGGAGGCACGUGUGCCGUUUUGUAUGUACUUUAUGAAUAAGGAUCGGCUAACUCCGUGCCAGCAGCCGCGGUAAUACGGAGGAUUCAAGCGUUAUCCGGAUUUAUUGGGUUUAAAGGGUGCGGAGGCAGUCUGUGAAGGUAGAGGUUAAAUCUCGAGGCUCAACUGCGGACGUGCCUCUGAUACUGUUCGGCUAGAGUGUACUUGAGGUAGGCGGAAUGUAUGGUGUAGCGGUGAAAUGCUUAGAGAUCAUACAGAACACCGAUUGCGAAGGCAGCUUACC
rnacentral:rRNA from 1 species